rnacentral:rRNA from 1 species
UACGGGGGGGGGCAAGCGUUGUUCGGAAUUACUGGGCGUAAAGGGCUCGUAGGCGGCCAACUAAGUCAUACGUGAAAUCCCCCGGCUUAACCGGGGAACUGCGUCUGAUACUGGAUGGCUUGAGUUCGGGAGAGGGAUGCGGAAUUCCAGGUGUAGCGGUGAAAUGCGUAGAUAUCUGGAGGAACACCUGUGGCGAAAGCGGCGCACUGGACCACAACUGACGCUGAGGCGCGAAAGCUAGGGGAGCAAACAGG